UCUCGUUGCUAGUAGAGAAAUCCUUUUUUUUUCCCAUUCUCUCCCGUUUUGUCUAUCAGAGAAGAGAUAACCCCAUGAGGAUUUUUGCAAGAUAUAGAUCGUUCCGCGAAUCCAAGCUCGAUUAUUUAUAUGAAGUUUUUGGUGGUAUUUGUAUGGGAAAUUAAAGAAUAAAUGGGAUCGUGGGAUAGAAGUCUAUUGCAAUUUUUUUUUUAUAGUUUUAUCACAUUUUUUGUACAAUCCAGAAGUUCAUAUAUGGAAUACUGAAAUAAAAGUGUUUUAGUUAUGUAUUUUCAUAGAUUCAUUACUUAUUUUUGACAUGCAGUUGAUUUUUAGAUUAUGAAUCCGCAGUACAUAUAUGAAAUACUGAAACAUACUGCUUUGGUUUUGUUAUUAUUUAUAGUUUUAUC